UACCAGCACCCCGAGUGGUCGGGACGUUUUAUUGGGCCUAAAGCAUCCGUAGCCGGUUCUACAAGUCUUCCGUUAAAUCCACCUGCUUAACAGAUGGGCUGCGGAAGAUACUAUAGAGCUAGGAGGCGGGAGAGGCAAGCGGUACUCGAUGGGUAGGGGUAAAAUCCGUUGAUCCAUUGAAGACCACCACGUGGCGAAGGCGGCUUGCCAGAACGCGCUCGGACGGUGAGGGAUGAAAGCUGGGGGAGCAAACCGGU
rnacentral:rRNA from 1 species